rnacentral:rRNA from 1 species
UACGAAGGGGGCUAGCGUUGCUCGGAUUUACUGGGCGUAAAGGGCGCGUAGGCGGCGCGGUAAGUCACUUGUGAAAUCUCUGAGCUUAACUCAGAACGGCCAAGUGAUACUGCAGUGCUAGAGUGUGGAAGGGGCAAUCGGAAUUCUUGGUGUAGCGGUGAAAUGCGUAGAUAACAAGAGGAACACCUGAGGUGAAGACGGGUUGCUGGGCCAACACUGACGCUGAUGCGCGAAAGCCAGGGGAGCAAACGGG